AAUCCCAGUGAACCACCCUUCCCACUCCAACUGAAUUACUGACUUUCCUGGUUCUCCUACUUGAAGAGGGCAUAUUGUGGAAUUUAUUGGACUUCAUAAACAUGAAUGGGAAGAAACAUCCUCAGAGGUGUAUUUUUCAGUAACAUUUUCAGAAGUGGCCAAAAGAGUGGAAAUAAAAGGACAUCCAAAUGGAUGGAGAUGAAAGGCAAGAAAUGCAAUGAAUCGUGGACUGAUUUCUAGGGAGCAGAACCAAGCUCUGAUCAAGAAAAUUCUCUGUUCCUAGAGUAAGGAGACCUAGUGACAUUUGCCUGACUAGAUUUCAGAAUUGUCAUAAAGCAGUGACUGCAAUGUUCCUUCUGUUUUAUACUCAAAAUGAGGGUGAUUUUGUAGUUUUUCUGGUUCUAUCUCACAGUUAUCUGUUGGGUUACACCAGAAAGGUAACUUUUCCUUUCUAGGUUUUUCACAGGUCUCUGGAGCAAAGAGAGUAUAUCCAAAGAGCUGCAUCUAGGAUUGAUACAGAUUCUCAAUUUUAUGACUUUGAGCCUGGUGCCAUGAUUGGAUGACAUUUUGAAAGAUCCUGGGAUGGGUGCACCAUAUAUUGCCUUUGGAAGUAUGUAGUUAAGUUCCGUUAGCUUGCUAGGAGAUGAAAAACACAUGACUCAGUUGCUCUUGUCACCCUAGAGAACCUCCUAGCUGACCUGUAGACCACAGAUGCAUGAAGAAUGUCAAGCUGAAUUCAGAAGAGCUUACCUACAUCCAAAAUUGUUGACCUAUAAUUUUUAUCCAGUGUGCUAGAUAAAACCUCAGUUUAAUGGGGGAAUGAAGAGGAGAAACUGUUUGAAAUUCACCUUCUGAACCAUUAACAAUACCUGGAAGGAUAAAGCUAAGAAAGUGAGACUUAAAUAAGAAAUCUUGUCAAAAAAAAAAAAGAAAGAAAGUGAGACUUGAGUUCUUCCAACCUGUACUUCACCAGAGCUUCUCAUCUGAUUCAUUUGUAAAUAUUGCUGUUGUUUUCUUAGUUGUACAAGCUGCUUCAGACUGCACGAACAUUGUCAUACUCAAUCUUCACAGCUACUCCAUGAGAUUGAAGAAUCACAAAUGGAAGCUCAAAAUACUUAUCCAAAUUUCUGAUUUCAAACAUGGAUUCACAACUCCAGCCUUAAAGACAGUGUAUAAACUUUUGUCUGUUUGUGAACAUCAUAUGCAGAUACAGAGUUCUGGUGUUGGUUUCUUAUUGUAAACUUUCUCAUUUCUACAGUUCAAAGUUUUUGAUUCUGAUUGUAUUCUGUAUUAAGUUCACUGAUGAAAUUAGCAGAAAGAGAAAAAUCUCUGAGUCUCUACAUGUAUCAACAUAAAUUGUUCACAGAUUUUACUCAGUAACAAUUUCCAAUUUCUAGUUUUUCUCAUUCAUUCACAACCUAUAAUGUUACAGACAAUUGACAUCAUGUUACUUCGGCCAUAAAACUAAGACCAAAGACACACAUUUUAAAGACACAUAUUAAACUGUGAUGGGCUUGAUUUAAUUUAUAUGCAUAUGUGAAAGCAACCUGUAUUUUGAUGACAGAUAAUUCCUAAAAAACAGGUCAAAAAGUGUUACUCAUAAAAUGGUUCAUUUCUGCAAUAGCAAUAUUGUAUUUGAAAGUUUUGAAUCUUAGCAAAGCAUUGGUAUAAAUCACAGACAUAAUUGACAAUAGGUGAUUUUAAAAAGAGAGAUAUACCCUAGUCCUGCUGGCUAAAGGAACAUAGAGCAUUUCCUCUUCUAUAUUGUUGUCAGUCACAUAUUUGAGGGGCACUGAAAUAUGGUUUCAUCUGACUGUUUUUUCCUACAUUACAAAUUCAUGUGUCCUUUCUAUGCUGCUCUAACUUUUUAUAUGCUAAGAUUUUAUUCAUUCUUAAAAAUUCAGGCCAAUAUUGCUAUUUUGUUAAAACCCUUUAAAAGUCACUUCCCAAAAGAAAAAUAAAAAGUAAUAAUGGUCUCUUCUGUAGUUUAAC
rnacentral:lncRNA from 13 species